UACUGCCAGUGUCGGUCUUCAGAGGAAAG
rnacentral:piRNA from 1 species